CGCCCGGCAGUGGCGCCGCCCCUCAGGUGGGGGCCCUGGAGCGCGCACCCGUCACCUGGCGGCCGGGGGACCUCUGGCCCAGGCAGCCCAGUGCCCGGUUCGGUUGCCGAGGGACACCUCGGAAGAGGACAGCGCAGCCACAGCUGGUCCGUGCGUGCCCCGCAGUGCGCACCUGGGGAAGUAGCGGAGAGAGAGAGACCUAGAGGAAGAGAGAGAGAGGUUAUUGCUGAAAGGAAAACAUGAAGUCAAACAAGGCCUUCUCAAUAGUGUAGAAUACAGAAUACUAACGAGUAUUAGCAGUAAACUAAGAAGAACAGAAUUGAAUGAAAAGUGAGAACAUGGAAAGAGACAAAGUGUGCAGUACUAAAAGAAAGAAGCAGGGGCCGUGCAGGGGUGGGUCC